rnacentral:rRNA from 1 species
AUUGAACGCUGGCGGCAGGCUUAACACAUGCAAGUCGAACGAUGAAGAUAUAGCUUGCUAUAUCGGAUUAGUGGCGGACGGGUGAGUAACACUUAGGAAUCUACCUUUUAGCGGGGGAUAGCUCGGGGAAACUCGAAUUAAUACCGCAUAAUUUCUACGGAAUAAAGAGGGCUUUUAGCUCUCACUAGAAGAUGAGCCUAAGUAAGAUUAGCUAGUUGGUGGGGUAAAAGCCUACCAAGGCGACGAUCUUUAGCUGGUCUGAGAGGAUGAUCAGCCACACUGGGACUGAGACACGGCCCAGACUCCUACGGGAGGCAGCAGUGGGGAAUAUUGGACAAUGGGGGCAACCCUGAUCCAGCCAUGCCGCGUGUGUGAAGAAGGCCUUUUGGUUGUAAAGCACUUUAAGCAGUGAAGAAGACCUAUUGGUUAACACCCAAUAGCGAUGACAUUAACUGCAGAAUAAGCACCGGCUAACUCUGUGCCAGCAGCCGCGGUAAUACAGAGGGUGCAAGCGUUAAUCGGAAUUACUGGGCGUAAAGCGAGCGUAGGUGGUUAAAUAAGUCAGAUGUGAAAGCCCUGGGCUCAACCUAGGAACGGCAUCUGAAACUAUUUAACUAGAGUAGGUGAGAGGGAAGUAGAAUUUCAGGUGUAGCGGUGAAAUGCGUAGAGAUCUGAAGGAAUACCGAUGGCGAAGGCAGCUUCCUGGCAUCAUACUGACACUGAGGCUCGAAAGCGUGGGUAGCAAACAGG